UGGUGGAGUGAUUUGUCUGGUUAAUUCCGUUAACGAACGAGACCUCAACCUGCUAAAUAGUUUCGUUUACACUUCUGUGUAGAUAGUAACUUCUUAGAGGGACUAUCGGUUGUCUAGCCGGUGGAAGUUUGAGGCAAUAACA
rnacentral:rRNA from 1 species